rnacentral:rRNA from 1 species
AUGGAGAUGGACAUAGGAAAGCUAGGAUUUGACUUCAUGGGAACAUCUGUAAUAUGUAGAAGCGGCAGUCCUCUAAUCCUAGCAGAUCUAAAGAAGGUUUCUGUUUCCGAAGCACGUGUUAUUAUUGUUUUAGCACCUGAUGAAAAUGCAGACCAAAGUGAUGCACGAGCUUUGCGUCUCGUACUGAGCCUGACUGGAGUAAAAGAGGGCUUAAGGGGGCAUAUUGUUGUAGAGAUGAGUGACCUUGACAAUGAACCUUUAGUGAAAUUGGUUGGAGGUGAACUAAUUGAAACAGUUGUUUCCCAUGAUGUCAUUGGACGUUUGAUGAUACAGUGUGCACUCCAACCUGGCUUGGCACAGAUAUGGGAGGAUAUUUUGGGAUUUGAAAAUGCAGAAUUUUGUAUAAAAAGAUGGCCAAAAUUGGAUGGCAUGCGGUUUGGCGAUGUGUUAAUCUCAUUCCCUAACGCUGUGCCCUGCGGAGUGAAGCUUGCGUCAGCAUUUGGAAGUAUAUUAAUGAAUCCGGAUGAUGAUUAUGUUUUAAGAGAAGGUGAUGAGAUCCUUGUUAUAGCAGAAGAUGAUGAUACUUAUGCACCUGCUCCUCUACCAGAGCUGCAUAAGGGUUUUCUACCUAACGUUCCCACCCCUCCUAAAUAUCCAGAGAAAAUUUUGUUCUGUGGUUGGCGACGUGACAUUCACCAUAUGAUAAUGGUUCUAGAAGCAUUUCUUGCUCCGGGCUCUGAAUUGUGGAUGUUCAAUGAGGUGCCAGAGAAGGCGAGGGAGGCAAAACUGACUGACAGUGGUAUGGAUAUUCUUGGACUAACAAACAUUAAACUUGUACACAAAGAAGGGAAUGUUGCCAUCAGGCGGCACUUAGAAAGCUUGCCUCUUGAGACCUUUGAUUCUGUGAGUAUAUGCCCUAUCAUAGAGACAAAUAUAGUACUCUGA